rnacentral:rRNA from 1 species
AGAGUUUGAUCAUGGCUCAGGAUGAACGCUGGCGGCGCAUUUAAGACAUGCAAGUCGAACGAAGAAUUUGCACCGAAUGAAAGAUGAAGAUUCAUCAGAUUCUGGAUUUCACCGUAAAUUCUUAGUGGCGGACGGGUGAGUAAUACGUAGAUAAUCUGCCUUCUAGAGGGAAAUAACAGAGAGAAAUUUCUGCUAAUGUCCCAUAAGACCACACUAUGGCAUCUUAGAGUGAUCAAAGGAGCAAUCCGCUAGAAGAUGAGUCUACGGCUGAUUGGCCAGUUGGCAGUGUAAGAGACUACCAAAGCUAUGAUCAGUAGCCGAGCUGAGAGGCUGGCCGGCCACAUUGGGACUGAGACACGGCCCAGACUCCUACGGGAGGCAGCAGUUGGGAAUAUUGGACAAUGGAGGAAACUCUGACCCAGUGACGCCGCGUGAAGGAAGAAGGUCUUCGGAUUGUAAACUUAUUUUGUCAGGGAAGAAUUUUGACUGUACCUGAAGAAAAAGCACCGGCUAACUACGUGCCAGCAGCCGCGGUAAUACGUAGGGUGCAAGCGUUAUCCGGAUUUACUGGGUGUAAAGGGCGAGUAGACGGCGAUGCAAGUCAGAUGUGAAAUGCUAGGGCUUAACCUUAGAACUGCAUCUGAAACUGUAUUGCUAGAGUGCAGGAGAGGUAAACGGAAUUCCUAGUGUAGCGGUGAAAUGCGUAGAUAUUAGGAGGAACAUCAGUGGCGAAGGCGGUUUACUGGACUGUAACUGACGUUGAGGCGCGAAAGCGUGGGGAGCAAACAGGAUUAGAUACCCUGGUAGUCCACGCCGUAAACGAUGGAUACUAGGUGUAGGCUCGAACGAGUCUGUGCCGUCGCUAACGCAAUAAGUAUCCCACCUGGGGAGUACGGCCGCAAGGUUGAAACUCAAAGGAAUUGACGGGGGCCCGCACAAGCAGUGGAGUAUGUGGUUUAAUUCGACGCAACGCGAAGAACCUUACCAAGACUUGACAUAUACUAGAAAGUCUAAGAAAUUAGAUCCCUCUUCGGAGCUGGUAUACAGGUGAUGCAUGGUUGUCGUCAGCUCGUGUCGUGAGAUGUUGGGUUAAGUCCCGCAACGAGCGCAACCCUCGUGAUUAGUUGCUGCCUAGCAGAACUCUAAUCAGACUGCCGUAGUUAAUACGGAGGAAGGUGAGGAUGACGUCAAAUCAUCACGUCCCUUACGUCUUGGGCUACACACGUACUACAAUGGGUGUUACAGAGAGAAGCAAAGCCGCGAGGCAGAGCAAAUCUGAUAAAAGCAUCCCUAGUUCGGAUUGUAGGCUGCAACUCGCCUACAUGAAGCUGGAAUUGCUAGUAAUCACAGGUCAGCAUACUGUGGUGAAUACGUUCCCGGGCCUUGUACACACCGCCCGUCACACCAUGAGAGUUGAGAAUACCCGAAGUCCAUGUCAAAGUGGCCGAAGGUAGGCUUGAUGAUUGGGGUGAAGUCGUAACAAGGUAGCCGUAUCGGAAGGUGCGGCUGGAUCACCUCCUU